rnacentral:rRNA from 1 species
UACGAAGGGGGCUAGCGUUGCUCGGAAUCACUGGGCGUAAAGCGCACGUAGGCGGACUCUUAAGUCGGUGGUGAAAGCCUGGAGCUCAACUCCAGAACUGCCUUCGAUACUGAGAGUCUUGAGUUCGGGAGAGGUGAGUGGAACUGCGAGUGUAGAGGUGAAAUUCGUAGAUAUUCGCAAGAACACCAGUGGCGAAGGCGGCUCACUGGUCCGGUUCUGACGCUGAGGCGCGAAAGCGUGGGGAGCAAACAGG